UACGUAGGCAGCAAGCGUUGUUCGGAAUUACUGGGCGUAAAGAGUGUGUAGGCGGUGCUCUAAGUUUGGUGUGAAAUCUCCCGGCUCAACUGGGAGGGUGCGCCGAAAACUGGAAUGCUUGAACAUGGGAGAGGAAAGCGGAAUUCCUGGUGUAGCGGUGAAAUGCGUAGAUAUCAGGAGGAACACCGGUGGCGAAGGCGGGACUCUGGGCCGAGUGACUGACGCUGGAGGAGCGAAAGCGUGGGGAGCAAACAGGA
rnacentral:rRNA from 1 species